GACGAACGCUGGCGGCGUGCCUAAUACAUGCAAGUCGAACGAGAGCGACCGGUGCUUGCACUGGUCAAUCUAGUGGCGAACGGGUGAGUAACACGUGGGUAACCUGCCGAUCAGAGGGGGAUAACAUCCGGAAACGGAUGCUAAAACCGCAUAGGUCUUCGAGCCGCAUGGCUUGAAGAGGAAAAGAGGCGCAAGCUUCUGCUGAUGGAUGGACCCGCGGUGCAUUAGCUAGUUGGUGAGGUAACGGCUCACCAAGGCCGUGAUGCAUAGCCGACCUGAGAGGGUGAUCGGCCACAUUGGGACUGAGACACGGCCCAAACUCCUACGGGAGGCAGCAGUAGGGAAUCUUCCGCAAUGGACGCAAGUCUGACGGAGCAACGCCGCGUGAGUGAAGAAGGUUUUCGGAUCGUAAAACUCUGUUGUUAGAGAAGAACAAGUGCUAGAGUAACUGUUAGCGCCUUGACGGUAUCUAACCAGAAAGCCACGGCUAACUACGUG
rnacentral:rRNA from 1 species